rnacentral:rRNA from 1 species
UACGUAGGGGGCUAGCGUUGUCCGGAUUUAUUGGGCGUAAAGAGUGUGUAGGCGGUCAGGUAGGUCUGCUGUGAAAACUCGAGGCUUAACCUCGAGAUGUCGGCGGAAACCAUCUGGCUAGAGUCCGGAAGAGGAGAGUGGAAUUCCUGGUGUAGCGGUGAAAUGCGCAGAUAUCAGGAAGAACACCCGUGGCGAAGGCGGCUCUCUGGGACGGUACUGACGCUGAGACGCGAAAGCGUGGGGAGCGAACAGG